rnacentral:misc_RNA from 1 species
GCUUGUGAAGCUCAGCUCUUGGACACAGGGAAUUUAGUUUUAGUCCAGGGAAGAAAUAAAAAAAUUCUGUGGCAAAGCUUUGAUUAUCCCACAAAUACCCUGCUACAAGGAAUGAAAAUUGGUGUGAACAAGAAAACGGGUAUGGAAACGUUCCUAACUUCUUGGAGAUCAGCGCAUUGAUCCAGGAAUUGGAAAGUAUUCAUUUAGGCUCAAUCCAAGUGGAUCACCAGAGUUUUAUCUAUACAAGGGUCCCAACCCCUAUUGGCGAAGUAUACCAUGGC